rnacentral:lncRNA from 1 species
AGCACCAGUGCUCUUUAACAUCUUCCUCCUAUGCGUCACCCAGCUUCUCCAUAAGGAAAUUGAGGACAACAGCGGGGUGACAGUGGUCUAUAGGCUAGAUGGCAACCUCUUUAACAUCAGGAGGCUGCAAGCAACCACCAAGCUGCACAGAGUGAGGGUCCUUGAGCUGCAGUAUGCAGAUGACUGCGCUCUUGUGGCUCACACUCCACAAGACCUCCAGGCUGUCCUGGAUGCAGCUGUGAAGGCUUACAGCAGGAUGGGGCUGACCAUCAACAUCACCAAAACAGAGGUAGUCUGUCAGUGGAGCACCAACAUCCCACCCACGCCACCCAUCUUCAACAUCACUGGUAAGAAUCUGUCUGUAGUACCAUCAUUCAAAUACCUGGGGAGUAUCCUCUCUGAGGACAAUAACAUCAACAAUGAGGUCCAGAACAGAAUCAAUCAAGCAUCAGCUGCCUUUGGGAGACUCAGGCGCCGGGUCUUCCAAAACAAGAACUUAUAUCACUACACAAAAAUCUCUGUGUAUCAAGCAGUUUGCAUCACCACCCUCCUCUACAGUUGUGAAGCAUGGGUCACUUACAGCCGCCAUGUGAAGUCCCUGGAGCAUUUUCACAUCCGCUGUCUCCAGCGAAUGCUAGGAAUCACUUGGCGUGACCGAGUGCCACACACCGAGAUCCUCAGGAGAGCAGGCUGUAGGAGCAUUGAGGCCACCAUCACCCACUACCAGCUACGAUGGCUGGGGCACGUUAUAAGGAUGCCCCUCAAUCGGCUGCCUCACAAAGUGCUGUAUGGCCAGCUCGCCCAAGGCCAACGCUCUGCUGGAGGGCAGAAGAAGCGCUAUAAAGACCAGAUCAAAACAGCGCUAAAGAAGUGCAAAAUCAGGCCUGGGGACCUGGAGGGCUUGGCUGCUGACCGUAACACCUGGCGUCAUAUGUGCCAAGACGGGACCAAAGCACUGGAGGAGGACAGGACAGCCAGGAGACAGGAAAGGCAAGAAAGAAGGCAUACAAGAAAAAACAACCAAGGUUGCCAGUACCACCACUACUACAUUCGCAUGUCCCACCUGCGACAAGACCUGUGGAUCCAGGAUAGGACUAUACAGCCACC